AGCAGCCGCGGUAAUUCCAGCUCCAAUAGCGUAUAUUAAAGUUGUUGCAGUUAAAAAGCUCGUAGUUGAAUUUCGGGGUCAGCAGGUUGGUCGUGCCACUGGUAUGCACUGGCUUCGCUGAUUCCUCCUUUCUGAAGAACUGUAAUGCCAUUAAUUUGGUGUUGCAGGGAAACAGGACUGUUACUUUGAAAAAAUUAGAGUGUUUAAAGCAGGCUAACGCUUGAAUACAUUAGCAUGGAAUAAUGAAAUAGGACGUUAAUCCUAUUUUGUUGGUUUCUAGGAUUGACGUAAUGAUUAAUAGGGAUAGUUGGGGGCAUUAGUAUUCAAUUGUCAGAGGUGAAAUUCUUGGAUUUAUUGAAGACUAACUACUGCGAAAGCAUUUGCCAAGGAUGUUUUCAUUAAUCAAGAACGAAAGUUAGGGGAUCGAAGACGAUCAGAUACCGUCGUAGUCUUAACCAUAAACUAUGCCGACUAGGGAUCGGAUGAUGUUAUUUUUAAUGACUCA
rnacentral:rRNA from 1 species